CAUGACCAAUAUCUUUACGAGUUUAGCUCAUCUUUAGCUAUACGACAAGAUAAAUUCCAUGUCGUUCAAGAUUCAUGCGAUAACCUAAAAUUACCUAGAUAAAGUAAUGUAUCAUAGCAAAAACAUUGCAUGUUGACCUGAUCAACGAUAAAGACACAAAGUGUUGAUAUAUCUAGCACAAUCAUAUGAAUAUUGGAUGGCAUGUUUUGCAUUAAUUCAGACUUUAUAGAUUCUACAAGUUAAACGGCAAACGUAUCGCACAGUUUCAUUUCUGACAUAAAAGGAAAAGGAUACUUUUGAAAGAUGACUCAGCUGGAACUGGAUCCGCAAUUUACACAGGGAUUACGCCUUUUGCACUCCACUAACAAGGAUUCCGCAGAACAGUUACGAGCUCUAUUAGAUGAGGCAAUUAAACAAAAGUAUGGACCAUCCAAAAUGCUCUCCAAUGUGCUACAUAAAAAGUACAUGAUGGAAGAACCAGUAUUGAGUGAUCAUAGUAGCAGUAGCAGUAAGAAAAGCAAAAGUUCUAGUUCAUCUAAGCAUUCGAGUAAAUCGAGCAAGAAUAGUUCCCCUGUUAAUCUGCCAGCACGUGACACACCACCGGACAUCCUACAAACAGACGAUAAUCUCGCUCUGGAAAUUCUAGAGGAUGAUCUGACAUGUGUCAUUUGUAAAGGAAUGGAUGUUGGAGCAAGAAAUAGACUUGUAGAGUGUCAAGAGUGUCAUUCUUUAUAUCAUCAAGAAUGCCACAUUCCACAUAUCCUGGAUUCGCAGAUAGAUGUACCCAAACAAGUAUGGUACUGCUCUAACUGUUCAAAAUCUCAGGUUUCAAAAGACAGAAGUUCGCCAAAAACUGUGAUAGAAAGCAAAUCCAAAGAACAGAAAAAACCCAGCUCGAACAUUGGAGCUAAGGUGACACCAAAUAUUCAUAUUAUAAGCGCAGAUAAAAGACUGAAAGACAUGAUGAAAAAAGCCAAGCAGGAUAAACGAAACACAGGUACUGCCACAAAUUCAAAGAAUUCUUCAUCCAGUACAUCUACAUUAUCCUCAGUUAAAUCUUCUCAAGAUAAAUCAUUAUUAUACAAGAUAAAAUCAGGGGUAGAAUAAACUACUUACGAAAGAAAUCGCUAAAAAAAAACAGAAACGGAUUAUAUAUAUAAAUAAUAUAUGUUGUAAAAAUAAUUCGGAAGUUUUAUUAAUAUUACUUUAUAAUUGAUCUUAUUAACCUGUGAAGAAAAAGGGGCGACGAUUUUUAUUAUUAUUUUUUAUGAAUAUAUAUUUUACAAAGAGGGAAAGAGAGAGAUUGUAAGAAUCUCGGCCCCUUAUGACACAAGUUUUGAAUAGACGACACACCACUAGUAUAGUAUUUAUAUUGAAGUUUAAUCGAAUUACAUUCAAUCGAUAUUAGUACAAUUGGGCCUUUGUGUAGUGUCUGAAUUUCUUACUGCCUAUAAAUACAAUUCCAUAUGAUACAAUUUAUUAAUAAUUGUACAAACGUGCCAUGUAAAUUUGUUAUCUUUAUAAGCUUUCGCAUUAUUAUUACAAAAAUAUUAAGUAUGUAGAAAAUAAUGACAUAAUAUUACUAUAGCUAAUAAUUAUUACACACGUAAUAUCGUUUGUAAUACAAGUCUGCAUUGAUAGUUUUAAAAUGUAAAUAUACAAUAGAUUAUUUUUUAAUACCUUUUUAUUGAUAUAUUUAUAAAAAGAAAGCGAUAAAAUUAUACAAACUUCACAUAUCUCAAGAUUGCGUAUUAAUUGUACUGUUAUAUAUAUGUAUAGCAUAUACAAUUUCGUGACCGAAAUUAGCUCUGCGCGUACCGAGUACGCUGAUUUAUAAUUUAUAUCGCGUAAUGCGACAUAACAUCGACGCUGGAAUUGUCAAUGUUUGUCAAAAUGCACAAGUGAAAAACUAUAACGCGCGCCAAGUAUAUACGUUCUACUGUAUACAAGAUGUACAUAUAAAUUCCACGUAUAUUUCGCGAAUGCGAAGGUGGUAUUAAAGUCGCGAAUUAAUAUAAGAAUUCCAAAUUAACACGACUUAUAUAACACACGCGACUCUGACGACUUUCGAAUGGCGUGUAUUCUUGAAAAGUUCACGUAUAUUUAUAGUAACAAUAUUUAGAUCUUAGCGCACCAGCGAGCUGUGAUAAUUUUACACGGGCUAUGUAGCUGUAUAUCGCAUGCCUGUUCAAUUACAAUAAAUCUUUACCGACGAAAUCAAAGGAGAUUUUGAAUAUCUAUUUGUGAAAAAGGGCUGGAAAAUCAAUAUCAUCUUCGCAGGUUGCUGAUGAUUGCGAAUGACGGGGGAGCCUGAGGACCUAGAGUAUAUAAUUGAAAUUACACGACGGCAUUAUUAAGUACAAGAGUAUGAGCAUGUCCCCAGCCUCCCUGGACCUACAUCGAUGACUCGUCGAUCGAGGCUUGUUGCGCCUCGAUUGAACGAGCUUAUAUUGGCUGAACGGAUCGACAAUUUGUGGAAAAACUUGGCAGUGUGUGCGUGACCAAUGUAAUAAUCGUCCGUUGACGUUACGCAAUAUCGAGAUUCGUAAAAAAAAGGAAAU